CGGGGUGUGGCGCAGUUGGCUANNUUGCAUGGGGUGCAAGGGGUCGAAAGUUCGAGUCUUUUCACCCCGA
rnacentral:tRNA from 1 species